rnacentral:rRNA from 1 species
AGAGUUUGAAAAGGAUGAGGACGAACGCUGGCGGCGUGCCUAAUACAUGCAAGUAGAGCGGACGAAUCGAAAGCUUGCUUUUGAGUCGUUAGCGGCGGACGGGUGAGUAACACGUGGGCAACCUGCCCUCCUCGACGGGGAUAACACCGAGAAAUCGGUGCUAAUACCGGAUAACACGAAAUGUCGCAUGACGUUUCGUUGAAAGACGGCGCAAGCUGUCGCUACAGGAUGGGCCCGCGGCGCAUUAGCUAGUUGGUGAGGUAACGGCUCACCAAGGCGACGAUGCGUAGCCGACCUGAGAGGGUGAUCGGCCACACUGGGACUGAGACACGGCCCAGACUCCUACGGGAGGCAGCAGUAGGGAUUCUUCUGCAAUGGACGAAAGUCUGACGGAGCAACGCCGCGUGAGCGAAGAAGGCCUUCGGGUCGUAAAGCUCUGUUGUUAGGGAAGAACAAGUAACGCAGUAACUGGCGUUACCGUGACGGUACCUAACGAGAAAGCCACGGCUAACUACGUGCCAGCAGCCGCGGUAAUACGUAGGUGGCAAGCGUUGUCCGGAAUUAUUGGGCGUAAAGCGCGCGCAGGGGGGUUCCUUAAGUCUGAUGUGAAAGCCCACGGCUCAACCGUGGAGGGUCAUUGGAAACUGGGGGACUUGAGUGCAGAAGAGGAGAGCGGAAUUCCACGUGUAGCGGUGAAAUGCGUAGAGAUGUGGAGGAACACCAGUGGCGAGGCGGCUCUCUGGUCUGUAACUGACGCUGAGGCGCGAAAGCGUGGGGAGCAAACAGGAUUAGAUACCCUG